UUAAGAGCGUAUGGUGGAUGCCUUGACUCAAAAUGGCGAUGAAAGACGUAGCAUGGCUGCGAUAAGUUACGGGGAGGUGCCUAGCAACCGUUAAUCCGUAAAUUUCUGAAUGGGGAAACCUAAUGACUAUAUGUCAUUGCUUAGGAGUUUAUCCUAAGUGCAUACCCGGGGAAGUAAAACAUUUCAGUACCCGGAGGAAAAUAAAACAAUGUUCGUAAGAACGACAUUUCCUUAGUAGCGGCGAGCGAAACGGAAAUAGCCCAAACCACCCUCUAUUAUGUUAGUUGAAUGUGCUGGAAAGCACGACCCUAGAGGGUAAUGGUCCCGUAAACGAAAAUAUAAUAUCUUCUUUGUUUCUGUUCUUGAGUACCUCGAGACAUGAAUAGCUCGGGGGAAUCUGCCGGUACUAACCGGUAAGGCUAAAUACAUUUUGAGAUCGAUAGUGAACUAGUACCGUGAGGGAAAGGUGAAAAGAAGUCCGAUUAGGACAGUGAAAUAGAUCUGAAACCAUAUGCUUACAAGGAGUCGGAGCGGCCGUCACGGCGUGCCUAUUGAAGAAUGAGCCAACGAGUUCUAGUACGCGGUUUGACUAAGUCCUUCAUCGGAUGGAGUCGUAGGGAAACCGAGUGUGAAUAGCGCGUAUUCCAAUCGUGUGCUAGAGACCCGAAGCCAGAGCGAGCUUGCCAUGAGCAGGUUGAAGUUUGUCGAAAGACAGAUGGAGGACCGAACCGGUUGCCCGUGCGAUUGCAUCGGAUGACUUGUGGUAAGAAGUGAAAAGCUAAUCGAGCCUGGUAAUAGCUGGUUCUCUCCGAAAUAGCUUUUGGGCUAGCGUCGCAUGUUCCCUUCCGGGGUAGAGCACUGGAAGGUUUCGACAGGGAGCAAUCUCGCGAAACCUAUCAAACUCCGAAUACGGAAGAUUUAAAGCGCGGCAGUUAGACGGUGGGGGCUAAGCUCCAUACGUCAAAAAGGAAACAGCCUAGAUCUCUAUUUAAGGUCCCUAAAUCUAUGUUAAGUGCACUUGAGGUGGUGAAUUUUCUCUGACACUGAGGAGGUUGGCUUAGAAGCAGCCAUCCUUUAAAGAUAGCGUAACAGCUCACUCAGUAAGAGAAUUCGCGCCGCAAAUAAUCGGGGCUAAACAUAGUACCGAAACUGAGGGUUUCAUAAUUCUUCGGAAUUGUGGAGCGGUAGGAGAGUAUUCGCAUCUGCUGUGAAGGCAAAGGGGUGACCCAUGCUGGAGCGUUGCGAAGUAAGAAUGUUGGCACAAGUAACCACAUUGCGGGUGAGAUCCCCGCACGCCGAAAGACUAAGGUUUCCUGUUCAAUGUCAAUCAGAGCAGGGUUAGUCGGGCCUAAGGCAAUGGAGAGAUCCGCAGCCGAUGGACACAUGGUUAAUAUUCCAUGACUUUUAUGUGAUGCGAUGGAAGGACGGAGUGUAGUAUGUAUUGCUCAUUAUUGGAUUUGAGUAAAUGCUGUGAGGUAGUUGACUAGGUAAAUCCGGUCACUUUCUUAAAUGAUAAUACCAAGUAGUAUUUAAACCUGCGGGUUCGCCCUAGGGAAUUAUACAAAGCACGCUUCCAAGAAAAUUUUCUAAGCAUAAUCACAUGAGAUCCGUACCGUAAACCGACACAGGUAGUCAGGUCGAGUAGACUAAGGCGAACGAGUGAGAGAUCCCCAAGGAACUCGGCAAAAAAGCAGCCGUAACUUCGGAAUAAGGCUCACCGACGCAUCGCCGGUUGCAACAAAAGUUUCUCUGGCAACUGUUUAUCAAAAACACAGCUCCCUGCGAACUCGCAAGAGGAUGUAUAGGGGGUGACACCUGACCAAUGCCAGAAGGUCAAAUAUGGUAGUUGAGAGUCGCAAGAUUUUAGAUUGACCGUAUAAGCCCUGGUGAAUGUCGGCCGUAACUAUAACGGUCCUAAGGUUCUGAUUCUAGCGAAAUUCCUUGUCGGGUAAGUAUCGGAACUUAGUUCCGACGUGCACGAAUGGUGUAAUGACUGGAGAACUGUCUCGGGGAUUUGCUCGGUGAAAAUACAAUACCGGUGAAGAUGCCGGUUACCUGCAGUUAGACGAAAAGACCCCAGGAGCUUUACUGCAACUUGAUAUUGAGGAUAUGACUUGCAUACGUAGCAUAGUGGUGAGAGGUUUGAUGGUUUCGUUCUCGGACGGGAUCUACUCGACAGUGAAAUAGCCAUUUUGUUUGUUAUAUUUUCUAACCUGUUCGGCAAAAACGAACAGAGACAGUUUCUGGUGGGCAGUUUUAGUGGGGCGCUAUCCUCCUAAAGAGUAACGGAGGAGUUUAUUAAGGUCAGCUAGGCGCGAAUGGAAACCGUGCCGAUAGUGUAAUGGCAUAAGCUGGCUUAACUGUGAGACGUACUUGUCAAACAGAUGCGAAAGCAGAACAUAGUGAACCGACGGUCCGUUUUAGAGGCGGCCGGAGAUUAUCGGAUAAAAGCUACCCUGGGGAUAACAGGCUGGUUGCACCUAAGCGUCCAUAGCGACGGUGCAGUUCGGCACCUCGAUGUCGGCUCAUCUUAGCCUGGGGGUGAAGAAGCUCCCAAGGGUAUGGCUGUUCGCCAUUUAAAAAGAUACGCGAGCUGGGUUCAGACCGUGGCGUGAGACAGGUUGGUCUCCUAUCUACUGUAGGCGUUGAUUCUUGAGAAGAUUUGCCCCUAGUAAGCCCGAAAGUGUGCUCCUAGUGAUAGGGGAACGAAACGACGAGAGGACCGGGGUGAACUGACCUCUGGUGUGUCUGCUGUCCUGCCAAGGGCAACGCAGAGUAGCUAAGUUGGGAAGGGAUAAACUCUGAAAGCAUCUAAGAGUGAAACCCACUUCAAGAUUAGGAAUCGUUUGAGGCCCGUGAGAGAUGAUCACGUGAUAGGCACUAGGUGUAAGCACAGUAAUGUGUUCAGCCAAGGUGUACUAAUUAGCCGA
rnacentral:rRNA from 3 species